CACGCCGUAAACGAUGAGUGCUAGGUGUUAGGGGGUUUCCGCCCCUUAGUGCUGGCGUUAACGCAUUAAGCACUCCGCCUGGGGAGUACGGCCGCAAGGCUGAAACUCAAAAGAAUUGACGGGGACCCGCACAAGCGGUGGAGCAUGUGGUUUAAUUCGAAGCAACGCGAAGAACCUUACCAGGUCUUGACAUCACCUAGCAAGCCAUGGAAACAUGGCCCUCCUUCGGGACUGGGUGACAGGUGG
rnacentral:rRNA from 1 species